AACUUGGCAGCAGUGAUCCAGAUGUGACGAUCAGUGGGAAUGUUCUCUCGAGCUUUGUUCAGGACACGACGGGCGUUCUCAUAUGUCUCUAACCGGGCCAGUGCCAGCCACAGCUACAGACGACAAACAGAUAUAGUUUAGAUAUAGAGGGCAACACUCCACGGCUCGGCUAAGCAUGAUCCUGGCAUCCUCGGGCUCCUCCAGCUCAACAGCGGUCUUCCACAGUCGAACUGACUUGGACACAUUCUCCAGGGCUACAUGGGUGAUGUUGCAUGACAGCCUUACCCUUCCUGAGGACUCGUUUCUUGGCCCUGACGUCAGUCUCCAGCUCUGCAGCUCUGAUGUAGAUGCGGACAGACUGCGGCAGGUGGCGGACAGCCUGGGCUACCACAGCUUUAGCUGUGUCACCAGGCUGGAGCCUGGCUGCCUCCAGCCACACAUCCUCACUCUGGUGGGCAGAGAGAAAUACUUACAGAGGGCAAGGACCGUUCUCCCAUUUGCAACUUAGUCAAGCAGUACUGCUGUCUUUAAAUUAAACAACUGGCAGUGCAAACUGAAAUGCUUGAUAUUUCAUACAAGAAAUGCUAUAAUGCAGUAUAUAACGCAUUCAGUAUAAUCCAGUACAGUACAAAAUGCAGGGAGAUAUUUUGGCAUUAGAGAUUACAGGUUUAAUAUGACCAAAACAACCAACCAACUCUCCUACAGCCUAUAGUCUGGAUGAGCUAAUGAUACACAGCUAUUUGCACAUGUGAACAGGCCAUUCGUAGAUUGAGGGUGUUGUUCAUUAUCCUUUACCUUAGGGCACAUCUCAGUGCCUUUCAUGAUUAGGUUCCUCGCCACCUGCAGUUUGCCGGUCACCUCCUCUAGCCUGGCAGAGGCAAUCCAGGCAGGUGGGUGAUGAGGAUUGGUCUCCCUCACUGAUUUCAGCAGCAGACGAGCCUUCUUUAUGUCACUGAACAUAUGACAAAAAUAAACCAUCAGACACACACAUAAUUCAUUUUACACAUAUUAUCUAUAUUCUGGCAUUCCCACAUUGUCCCUACCUGAUGUCCCCUCCAUGUGUGGGGAUCAUGGAGUUGAGAUCUGUCAAGUAACCCUUAGGAUCCACCACUGUCUGUCCACUCACUGAGUCAGAUACCUGAAGACAAUAAAAUGCAGACACAGGAGAGAAAUUAUAAAUAAAUAUUGUGUAUUAGGAUAACAACAGUAGAAUAUGAAUAGCAAAACAAGGCAAAAGUGAAAUGGGCUGAGGAUGGUGCAUCAGUUACCUGACUGAGCCUCAUAUCCAUGAGUGUGUUCCUGGCCUGACCGAUUUUCCUCAUGUCCAGCUCUCCUGUCCCUGGUGUCAUCAGACCAGGGGUCAUACUUCCUGGGUAAGGGGUGUUCAGACCUCCCAGCUAGGGAAGGGAAGAAAUAAUCAUAACAGAGAAACACAUUAUUGUCUCUGUGAGAAUUUUGUCACGGCAUGUUGACAAGAGAAACACAGGCCAAGAUCAUAUGACACUUUUCCCACCACUGUAAAUGGUGCAUGUGAAAACUCUUCAAAAUCUGAGCAAUGGCUUUUCUAUGCUGCAGACUGACAAAGUGUAAUAUGUUCAUAGCAAUGAUGUGAAAUUUGAAAAUGCAAUGUAUACCUGGCAAAUACUGACAACUUUUUAAUCAGCAGGCCACCUUUCAUUUGUUUUCAGUUCAGGUAUUUGGCAAUGCAUAGUGCUUGCAUGCACAGUCAAUCCGACCACCCUUUUUUCUUACUUGUAUACAGUAUUUUAAGUGCCUUAAGACAUCAUGUGAUCUAUCGGCAAAAAUAGGUGUCUGUUUCCUGUUACAAAGCAGAUAUCCACUCAGAUUACAUGAUUGCAGGAAAUAAAGAAACCUUUUCAUUGUU